rnacentral:rRNA from 1 species
UACGGAGGGGGCUAGCGUUGUUCGGAAUUACUGGGCGUAAAGCGCGCGUAGGCGGCUUUGUAAGUUAGAGGUGAAAGCCCGGGGCUCAACCCCGGAACUGCCUUUAAGACUGCAUCGCUUGAAUCCAGGAGAGGUGAGUGGAAUUCCGAGUGUAGAGGUGAAAUUCGUAGAUAUUCGGAAGAACACCAGUGGCGAAGGCGACUCACUGGACGACUGUUGACGCUGAGGUGCGAAAGCGUGGGGAGCAAACAGG